UAAUUGGUUCCAGCAGCGAACCCAGCCCAGAUGGGUGAGGACAGGCAUUUGCUAACUGGGCUCCUACUGGCCCCAGAAGUCAGUGUGGAAUUGCUGACAGAAUAUCACACACAGCGAGGAAAGUGCUGAUCCUGCAGCCCCAGCUUUGGGAUCCGGGAAAGGAGCACAGGGGUGACUUUUUCAGCUUCCCACAAUGUCCAUGGGGGUGAAGUCGCCACCAGCAGAGUUAAAAAGACUCUCUGGUAAAUAAAGGCUUUUUUAGCUCAGCCUCUGGAAACCUGGGCAACAGAGGAGGAGGGUGUAGGUGUUGGAAAGCACUUGAGGUCAACUUUGGUCAUUGCUGUCCUGUGUAACUGGGUCAAGUCACCGAAUGUCUAAAGGAAAUGAUGUGAUGAACACCAGUCUGUCAUGGCUGGAGACUUUUUUCCUGUACCACAUGCACUUUGAAGUCAUUGCACAGAAUCUUAGAUUUUGGUCAUUUGUGGAGUGGUCUUAAAGGCAGAUAAGGUUGUCACAACCUCAGCCAGCUUCUCCUCCUACACAGGUGCUGCCCUCAGUAAUUUUGUGUGAUGGUCUCUUCUUCUUCCUCUGGGUGCUGCAUGGGCUGAAUCCUUCAAGGACAGAAGAAUGGUCAGAGAACAGUCAAGAUUGUGCCCUGCUUGAAACAGCAGGUUGGUAGGGAAGAUUCACCAAAUACUGGAAUUUUUCUUGAGCAAUAAAAGCAACAAGGAAUUAAAGGAAACUUAAAAAAUACUAUAUCAAAAUGAACUUGGGGAAGAAAAUCUGCACUGGCUGUAGUAGGAAAAAACCCAAAACUUGCCCACAAGGUGAAGAAUAGUUCAAAAGUUUCUUUCUCUAGAAUUUUCUCCCUGCUUUUCCACAGUUUUUGUACAUGCUUUUGCCUACAUUUUUUGGGAAAAAAAUUAUUUUGUCUGGACCUUACUGCGCAGUUGCCUACAAAUACAUAAGUGACUCAAAGAGUUAGUUCUCAGGAAGAAUUUAUUUGCUUUGGUUAUCAGUUUCCUGCAUCUUGAAGAAAUGGAAUACCUCAGGAAGGGUGUUCAGUGGUGGCUCCUUUGACCCCAGCCAUUGCCUGGUGUCCUGGGCUGAUUUUUGUGUGGCUGCUGGUCCUGAGCAGCGUGGUGGCCCCACUCCUGGACAUGUGCUGUGGUCACAAACCACACAGUGGACAGAUCCUCCAGGUCUGCUGUUUGCUCUCAUUGCUGCUCUCCCUGAGAGUGGCACCCCGUGAGGGAAAUGUCCCAGGAGUGGAUUUCUCACAUCCCAAGCUGUAGUCACCUCACGUGAAUGUUCUGAGCUCUUACGUGGCUCCCCUUGGUGCUGCCAAGAAACAGGACAAGAGUCAAUGAGCAGAAAAUGAUGCACAGGGAACUCCACCUGAACAUGAGGAAGAACUUCUUCACUGGGCACUGGGACAGGUUGCCCAGAGAGGGUGGGGAGUCUCCAUCACCGGGGAUAUUCAAGAAGUGUCUGGAUGUAAUGCUGUGCUCAGGGGUGAUUCUGCUGGGGCAGGGAGGUGGGACCAGAUGACCACCGUGGUCCCUUCCAGCCUGACCCAUUCCAUGAUUCUGUGGGCAAUGGGAUUCUCCUUCUGGUGGCAAAGCCUUCCCACUGCACAGAGCACCUGCGGCAGGAGGCAGUCUCAAGAGCCUUUUGAGGGUCUCCAUCUGGGAAUUCGGAGCAUGGAUGGGUUCAGACAUGGAUGCACAGAAGGUGGGAAUGGGAUCAAGUGUUAUGUCAGGGCAGUGCUGCUCCUACAGCUUCCAGCCAAGGAAGUACCUGAACAUUUGGCUGUUGGUAAGUGAUGGGGUAAUUCAGGGCCAUCCUAAGAGCACCAUCAGCAGGUUUUGUGUCAUUGGAACAUCCCGAGGGGCCACUGCUGGCUCUGAGUGAGGCUGGAGAGUGCCUUGGAUUGUUCACUGUGGGAUUCCUAGGGAGAGAAAGCAGGAAACUCCUUGCUUUCAGGGCUCCCACUCCCUCUUUUUCUCCCUGAACUUCCCAGGGGGACUGAGAAACAGAUAUCUGCU